UAAGGUAAGUAUUUGCACUGACUGGGAC
rnacentral:sRNA from 1 species